rnacentral:rRNA from 1 species
GAAGCGGUGGAGCAUUGUUGUUUAAUUCGAAGCGAACGCGAAGAACCUUACCAGGUCCUUGACAUGCGUAGGAACCGGUGAAGCCUGGGUGCCCCGCGAGGGAGCCCUAGCACAGGUGCUGCACGGCUGUCGUCAGCUCGUGUCGUGAGAUGUUGGGUUAAGUCCCGCAACGAGCGCAACCCUCGUCCUUAGUUGCUAACAGUUCGGCUGAGCACUCUAGGGAGACUGCCUUCGCAAGGAGGAGGAAGGUGAGGACGACGUCAAGUCAUCAUGGCCCUUACGGCCAGGGCUACACACGUGCUACAAUGGGGCGUACAGAGAGCUGCGAUACCGCGAGGUGGAGCCAAUCUCUUAAAGCGUCUCUCAGUUCGGAUUGUUCUCUGCAACUCGAGAACAUGAAGCUGGAAUCACUAGUAAUCGCAGAUCAGCUAUGCUGCGGUGAAUACGUUCCCGGGUCUU